ensembl:lncRNA
CAAAAGUCUAUGGGAAAGAUGAAUCGAGACGUCAGGUGUCAACCUGCAUUACAAAACCAGCUCUAUGGACAGGUGGAAACUAGAAGCAUCAUUACCUGUGUGUUUAUGUUAUGCUGAACGCUAGGCUGAGGAAUCACACCUGAAUGAGGCUUCGUCCCCAGAGACACACAGAAGGCCCGAGCCGAGGACAGUAGGGAGGAACCCCGGGUCUGGGUCUUUCACUUAUAAGUGAAAUCAAGGGAGACCUCAUCAAGGAGGAGCUAGCUCUUGAAACCCAGCCUCCCUGCUGUGAGGAAGCCCAAGCAGUCCAUAGAGAGGUCCAUGUGGAGAAGAACUGAGGUCUGACUCUCGGCUCAGCUGAGCUCCCCAGCCAACAGUCAACAGCGAUUUGCCAAUUUGCCAGCCGUGAUCAGAAACAAGAGAAGCCAUCAGAAUGAGAAGCCUGAAGACUGCAGCGUGGAGUAGCCCCUGCUUGCCGCAACUAGAGACUGACCACACACAACAGCAAAGACCCAGCACAGCCAAAUACAAUCAAUCAAUAAACUAAAAAACCAAAGACCACUGUGAUUUCGUGCAAACCAAGGGGGAAGGGGGCCAGCCCCCGGUGCCAGGCACUUUGCCUGUGUGGAGAAACAGGACCCGAGACGUCGAUUGGGCUCUGCUUUCUCUCAUUUCCCCUGCAUUUUUCUCCUUCCCUUUCCAUGUGCUCACUGCCCCAGCAGAAAGGCCGGGAG